UCGAUUCCCUUAGUAGCGGCGAGCGAAACGGGAAGAGCCCAAACCAACAAGCUUGCUUGUUGGGGUUGUAGGACACUCUAUACGGAGUUACAAAGGACGACAUUAGACGAAUCAUCUGGAAAGAUGAAUCAAAGAAGGUAAUAAUCCUGUAGUCGAAAAUGUUGUCUCUCUUGAGUGGAUCCUGAGUACGACGGAGCACGUGAAAUUCCGUCGGAAUCUGGGAGGACCAUCUCCUAAGGCUAAAUACUCUCUAGUGACCGAUAGUGAACCAGUACCGUGAGGGAAAGGUGAAAAGCACCCCGGAAGGGGAGUGAAAUAGAACCUGAAACCGUGUGCUUACAAGUAGUCAGAGCCCGUUAAUGGGUGAUGGCGUGCCUUUUGUAGAAUGAACCGGCGAGUUACGAUUUGAUGCAAGGUUAAGCAGUAAAUGUGGAGCCGUAGCGAAAGCGAGUCUGAAUAGGGCGUUUAGUAUUUGGUCGUAGACCCGAAACCAGGUGAUCUACCCUUGGUCAGGUUGAAGUUCAGGUAA
rnacentral:rRNA from 1 species